CACUGACAUUAGAUACCCCUGUAGUCCCAGCCGUAAACUAUGCGCGUUAGGUGUAUCGGUGACCACGAGUUACCGAGGUGCCGAAGGGAAACCGUGAAACGUGCCGCCUGGGAAGUACGGUCGCAAGGCUGAAACUUAAAGGAAUUGGCGGGGAGCACCACAACAGGUGGAGCCUGCGGUUUAAUUGGACUCAGCGCCGGGAAGCUCACCGGAUAGGACAGCAGAAUGAUUGCCGGGCUGAAGACCCUGCAUGACUAGCUG
rnacentral:rRNA from 1 species